UUUCCUUAAUUUGGAGACAAAAGGCUGUUUAGGCUAUUAACAAAAAAUAAUAAUGAAAAGUUUGAUAAAAUACAUAUUUAGGUGUAGAAAAUGCUCUCAAACUACUUACUUGUGCAGUUCACCAGCUCGCAACGAUUUCUACAAUAACUUCUUCAGUAUUUAAGUCAUGGUACUACAGCGCCAAUGAGUAGCAACUGGAGUCGUUGUGUUCAGUGUUUCACUAGACGUGUAAGGACUCGCACUUCCGAUACACCCUCACUAUCAUUUGCCAUAGAGGGUCACGCUAAUGGGCAAGUUAACCGUCCUUGGGGCUUAUGCGUUAAUAAAAUGGGUCCCAUAUUCACCUCCGAUAGACGUAACAAUCGUGUGCAAGUUUUUAAUUCGGAUGGUACCCUGAAGUUUAAAUUCGGCCGUAAAGGCUCUGGACGCAUUAUUAUUACAGAUUCUAAAAACCAACGAGUGGCUAUCUACAAUUCCAACUUUAAAUAGAUUUGGAAAAUUGAAAUGCGUUCAUCGAGAAAUCCCUCUCGACGAAAAAGAUCGAACUUGUGACGUUUCUCUUAUGCCCGAUGGUCGAAUUGUUUUCCUACUCGAAUUAUCACCUGAUACGAAAGAGGGCUCCAAUGCUUAAAAAGGAUUUGUGCACGUUUUUUAAUUUUUUUAUUUAUAGUUAAUAAAAUCGCGUACCACAUCAAACGAAAUCAUUGAGUAACAAGCCAAAACAUAUUGUUCCUCUAUCAAUUUAAAAACUUUAUUAAAAAAAUUUGAUGUGAAGAAAUUAACAACUACUUCUAUAGUAUUAAAAGUGUAGGCUAUAAUCAUUAUAAUGGCAUGCAUACAUACAUAUAUGCAAAUAAUAUAGCUUAAGUUAGUGAAAUUCAUUUAUUUAUUUAAAGGCGGCUGCAUUUAUGGCAACCUCCGAGGGUAUUUAUGCAAUGAAAAAGCUCUCAUAAACACCAUUGUUAUUUGGGGCAGCACGAAACUGUAGGAGAAGCUCGCCCAAACACCCGAAAAAGGGUGUA